CCUACGGGAGGCAGCAGUGAGGGAUAUUGGACAAUGGGGGAAACCCUGAACCAGCAACGCCGCGUGAGGGAAGACGGUUUUCGGAUUGUAAACCACUGUCCUCUGUGAAGAUAAUGACGGUAGUAGAGGAGGAAGCUCUGGCUAACUACGUGCCAGCAGCCGCGGUAAUACGUAGGGAGCGAGCGUGGUGCGGAUUUACUGGGUGUAAAGGGUGCGUAGGCGGCCCUGCAAGUCAGAAGUGAAAUCCAUGGGCUUAACCCGUGAACUGCUUUUGAAACUGCAGGACUUGAGUGGAGUAGAGGUAGGCAGAAUUCCCGGUGUAGCGGUGAAAUGCGUAGAGAUCGGGAGGAACACCAGUGGCGAAGGCGGCCUACUGGGCUUUGACUGACGCUGAGGCGCGAAAGCGUGGGUAGCAAACAGGAUUAGAUACCCUUGUAGUC
rnacentral:rRNA from 1 species